GAUGAACGCUGGCGGCGUGCCUAACACAUGCAAGUCGAACGGGAGGGCGGACGGGUGAGUAACACGUGGGCAACCUGGCUCAUAGAGGGGGAUAACAGAGAGAAAUUUCUGCUAAUACCGCAUACUAUGAGAUGGAACCGAGUCUGCUUAGCCAGGUGGCAGGGUAAGAGACUACCCAAGCGACUAUCAGUAGCCGAUCUGAGAUGAUGAAUGGCCACAGUGGGACUGAGACACGGCCCAAACUCCUACGGGAUGCAGCAGUGGGGGAUAGUGCCCAAUGGGGGGAGCCCUGAUGCAGCGACGCCGCGUGAGUGAAGAAGUAUUUCGGUAUGUAAAGCUCUAUCAGCAGGGAAGCAGUACCUGAAUAAUAAGCCCCGGCUAACUACGUGCCAGCAGCCGCGGUAAUUC
rnacentral:rRNA from 1 species